rnacentral:rRNA from 1 species
CCUACGGGUGGCAGCAGUGAGGAAUAUUGGUCAAUGGACGGAAGUCUGAACCAGCCAAGUAGCGUGAGGGAGGAAGGCGCAGAGCGUCGCAGACCUCUUUUGUAGGGGGAUAAAAUGUUGGACGCGUGGGGUUUUGUGUGUACCCUGUGAAAAAGGAUCGGCUAACUCCGUGCCAGCAGCCGCGGUAAUACGGAGGAUGCGAGCGUUAUCCGGAUUUAUUGGGUUUAAAGGGUGCGCAGGUGGGGUGUUAAGGCGGUCGUGAAAGUGUGGGGCUCAACCGUGACAGUGCAGUUGAAACUGGGAGCCUUGAGUGCGGCAGAGGCAGGCGGAAUGCGUGGUGUAGCGGUGAAAUGCUUAGAUAUCGCGCAGAACCCCGAUUGCGAAGGCAGCGCGCUGUGCUGCCACUGACACUGAGGCACGAAAGUGCGGGGAUCGAACAGGAUUAGAUACCCCAGUAGUC